ACGAACGCUGGCGGCGUGCUUAACACAUGCAAGUCGAACGGAAAGGCCCUGCUUUUGUGGGGUGCUCGGGUGGCGAACGGGUGAGUAACACGUGAGUAACCUGCCCUUGACUUUGGGAUAACUUCAGGAAACUGGGGCUAAUACCGGAUAGGAGCUCCUGCUGCAUGGGGGGGGUUGGAAAGUUUCGGCGGUUGGGGAUGGACUCGCGGCUUAUCAGCUGGUUGGUGGGGUGGUGGCUUACCAAGGCUUUGACGGGUAGCCGGCCUGAGAGGGUGACCGGCCACAUUGGGACUGAGAUACGGCCCAGACUCCUACGGGAGGCAGCAGUGGGGAAUAUUGCACAAUGGGCGGAAGCCUGAUGCAGCAACGCCGCGUGCGGGAUGACGGCCUUCGGGUUGUAAACCGCUUUCGCCUGUGACGAAGCGUGAGUGACGGUAAUGGGUAAAGAAGCACCGGCUAACUACGUG
rnacentral:rRNA from 1 species